rnacentral:rRNA from 1 species
AGAGUUUGAUUCUGGCUCAGGAUGAACGCUGGCGGCGUGCCUAAUACAUGCAAGUCGAACGAGGGCACUUGUGCCCUAGUGGCGAACGGGUGAGUAACACGUAGGUAACCUGCCCUUAAGCUUGGGAUACCCAGAGGAAACUUUGGCUAAUACCGGAUAACAACAGAUGAGGCAUCUCAACUGCUUGAAAGGCCCUUUACGGGGUCACUUAAGGAUGGACCUGCGGCGCAUUAGCUAGUUGGUGAGAUAACAGCCCACCAAGGCGAGGAUGCGUAGCCGAACUGAGAGGUUGAUCGGCCACAUGGAAACUGAGACACGGUUCCAACUCCUACGGGAGGCAGCAGUAAGGAGUUUUCGGCAAUGGGGGAAACCCUGACCGAGCAACGCCGCGUGAGUGAUGACGGCCCCUAUGGGUUGUAAAGCUCUUUUAUUGGAGACGAAUGGUGGGAUUAGGAAAUGAAUCCCAUUUGACUGUAUCCUUUGAAUAAGCCACGGCUAACUACGUGCCAGCAGCUGC